rnacentral:rRNA from 1 species
GACGAACGCUGGCGGCGUGCUUAACACAUGCAAGUCGUACGGUAAGGCCCUUUCGGGGGUACACGAGUGGCGAACGGGUGAGUAACACGUGAGUAACCUGCCCACAACUUUGGGAUAACGCUAGGAAACUGGUGCUAAUACUGGAUAUGUGCUCCUGCUGCAUGGUGGGGGUUGGAAAGCUCCGGCGGUUGUGGAUGGACUCGCGGCCUAUCAGCUUGUUGGUGGGGUAGUGGCCUACCAAGGCGGCGACGGGUAGCCGGCCUGAGAGGGUGACCGGCCACAUUGGGACUGAGAGACGGCCCAGACUCCUACGGGAGGCAGAAGUGGGGAAUAUUGCACAAUGGGCGCAAGCCUGAUGCAGCAACGCCGCGUGCGGGAUGACGGCCUUCGGGUUGUAAACCGAUUUCAGCAGGGACGAAGCUUUUUGUGACGGUACCUGCAGAAGAAGCACCGGCUAACUACGUG